rnacentral:rRNA from 1 species
UACAAAAAGCGUUAAAGCUUCAUUGUUUUUAUCAAAAAUACCAUUAAUUAACUGUAACCCUUCACCGGUACUGAAUGAUCUCAUAGUGGUAUGAGAGCCUAUAUGUUAGAACUAGUAACAAGAAGAAGCCCUUCUCCAAAAUGUAAGCAUGAGCCAAAAUGAACUAUUCACUGGCACUUAAAGUUAUAAACCUAUUGUAGCAACUUAACAAGAAAAACCUACAACUGCAAACGUCAACCUUACACCAGCACAUUUCUGGAAAGAUAAAAAGAAUAGGAAGGAACUCGGCAAAUAACUAACCCCGCCUGUUUACCAAAAACAUCGCCUCCUGAUCACCCAUAGGAGGUCCAGCCUGCCCAGUGACUAAGUUAAACGGCCGCGGUACCCUAACCGUGCAAAGGUAGCGCAAUCACUUGUUCUUUAAAUGAGGACUAGUAUGAACGGCAUCACGAGGGUUAUGCUGUCUCCCUACUCUACUCAGUGAAACUGAUCUCCCCGUGAAGAAGCGGGGAUAAAAAUAUAAGACGAGAAGACCCCAUGGAGCUUUAAACUCAGUACCAACUGCCCAAAUAAUAGCCUAUUACCCCUGCAGCUAUGGUUACUAGUUUUCGGUUGGGGUGACCACGGAGUAAAAUUUAACCUCCACGAUGAAAGGAACUAAUAUCCUAACCUAUGAGCUACAGCUCUAAGUAUCAACAAAUUGACUAAUUGACCCAAUUACUUGAUCAACGAACCAAGUUACCCUGGGGAUAACAGCGCAAUCCAUUUCAAGAGCUCAUAUCGACAAAUGGGUUUACGACCUCGAUGUUGGAUCAGGGUAUCCCAGUGGCGCAGCCGCUACUAACGGUUC